rnacentral:rRNA from 1 species
GUGGGGAAUCUUGCGCAAUGGGCGAAAGCCUGACGCAGCCAUGCCGCGUGGAUGAUGAAGGUCUUAGGAUUGUAAAAUCCUUUCACCGGUGAAGAUAAUGACUGUAGCCGGAGAAGAAGCCCCGGCUAACUUCGUGCCAGCAGCCGCGGUAAUACGAAGGGGGCUAGCGUUGCUCGGAUUUACUGGGCGUAAAGGGCGCGUAGGCGGACAUUUAAGUCAGGGGUGAAAUCCCGGGGCUCAACCUCGGAACUGCCUUUGAUACUGGAGGUCUUGAGUGGUAGAGAGGUGUGUGGAACUCCGAGUGUAGAGGUGAAAUUCGUAGAUAUUCGGAAGAACACCAGUGGCGAAGGCGACACACUGGCUCAUUACUGACGCUGAGGCGCGAAAGCGUGGGGAGCAAACAGGAUUAGAAACCCCUGUAGCCC